rnacentral:rRNA from 1 species
CUACGGGUUGCAGCAGUCAGGAAUUUUGGACGAUGGGCGAAAGCCUGAUCCAGCAACGCCGCGUGGAGGACGAAGGUUUUAGGAUUGUAAACUCCUUUUAGAGGGGACGAAAAAAAUGACGGUACCCUCAGAAAAAGCCACGGCUAACUACGUGCCAGCAGCCGCGGUAAUACGUAGGUGGCGAGCGUUACUCGGAAUUACUAGGCGUAAAGCGCAUGUAGGUGGUUUAAUAAGUCUGUGGUGAAAUUUCUCGGCUCAACCGAGGAGCUGCCAUGGAAACUAUUAGACUUGAGUGUGAGAGGGGAAGACGGAAUUCCUGGUGUAGCGGUGGAAUGCGUAGAUAUCAGGAGGAACACCGAUGGCGAAAGCGGUCUUCUGGCUCAAUACUGACACUGAGAUGCGAAAGCUAGGGUAGCAAACAGGAUUAGAUACCCUCGUAGUC